rnacentral:lncRNA from 1 species
CGGAAAUACGGUGAUUAUGUUGGAUGCGCAUCAGGAAAUACGGUAGUGGUGUGGUGAUGCGCGCUUUGAAAUACGGUAGCUGUGUCGCGCAAGAGCACCUGUGAUUACGGUACUUGCCGUGCCCAUUGGAAAAUACGGUACUUGUGCGCAUGCGCGUUUAGUUCUGCCGUUGGAAUUACGGUAGUUGUGGUGCGCAUGCGGAGAUACGACAUUGGCGCGAUACACUCUUGGAAAUACGGUAGUCAUGGCGCGCAGGCGCGUUCGGAAACGGUAGUGAGAUGCGCAUGCGCACUGGGAAACACUGGAAUUACGGCACUCGGAUGGGAUGCGCGUUUGUAAUUACGGUAGCUCUGCUUGUAUGCGCAUAUGCAAUUACGGUAGUUGUGAUGCGCAAGAAUAUUUGGAAAUGCGGUGGAUUUGGAUGCGCAUUUGGAAUUACGGUAUCGUGGUGCGACGCGCUUUUGGAGCUACGGUAGUUGAUGCGCGCAUGCGCAUUUGUAAAUACGGUACUUGCAUGCCGCUAAUUUGGAACAUUUGGUGUGCGCAUGCGCUCUUGGAAACACGGUAAUUGUACCAAGCACAGUGAACAUUACGGUACUUAAGGUGCGCAUGCGCAUCUCCAGGUACGGUAAUCCUGUGAUGCGCAAUCAGAAUUAGUGUAGCUGUAUGCGCAUGCGCAUCUGUAAUUACGGUAACCGUGUGAUGCGCGCACAGACUACGUUACUGUCAGUGCGCAUGCGCGGGAUGGAAUUACGGUGAAUUACGGUAGCGUCGCGAUGCGCACAUUAAAAAAAUCCGGUAUUUAUUUUGCACAUGCGCGUUUGAAACACACGGCGGGCGCACUGCACGCGCGCGCUAGGAAUUACGGUACUGGCGUGAUGCGCAUUUGGAAAAAAUUACGGUGCCCGUGCCGCGCACGAACAUUUGUAAAUACGGUAAUCCCGUAUUUCCCGAGGCGCACGAAAGAAUUUGGCCGGCUGUCAUGCCGGCUGUCUCAGCAGGAUCGGCGGCUCCGCCGUGCCCGGGGCUCCGGGUGCUGCUCACAUGUUCUUUUUUCCACGGCUGUGAGAGCUUCCUCACGUCCAACCCGUGGUUUUUUUGGGAGCAGAAGGACCCAAACCCAGUCAGGUUUUCUCUUCUGAGCUCCUUUGGGACGUGCAUGGAGCAGGAUGGAGGCUGGGAAAGGGUGAGUCAGUAAAAUUUUGGUGUUUUCCUGGGCUUAUUCUCCUUUUCCUGUUGCUCUUUAGAUUUAGUUUUGGAAACAUUUCAUUUUGGGCUGGUGAAUUUUGUGGGGUUUUUUUGUUUGUUUGUUUUUUCAUUUAACCUGAUUUAUGCAGAAUAAAAGAGCAGCUUUGUCCUUUUCUCUAAGCA